UUUAACUCUUUCUCUUCUCUUGCGACACUUCCCUCUCUCUCAAAAAUCAUUCGACAAAUCCAUAGAAAUCAUUUGAUUCAAGGUGAUUACGAAGGCCAUGACUCCUUACGGUCCUAAUUCUCAAGGUGGUUGUCGUGGGGGAGGUUUCUCCUCCGGUCGCAGUGGUGCUCGUCGUAGUGGCAGUCGCGGCGGUGGUGGGGAACAGCGAUGGUUGGAUCAGCGAUUUUGUAUCUUAAGCAACAUUGUUGAAAGAUUUCGUCUCUUGUCCUUGAGCAGGAUGAAGAAGUAAGGUUUUUUUUUUGUGGUGUCUAUCUUCAGUUGAUUGCUCUGUUUUUAAGAUCCAGACUGAAGGCACCUACUGGAGACUCUGAAGGACAAGUUAAAGACAGAACGGGUUGAAAGACGAGAAUAUGAUUAUGUGAAGUUGCGCUUCAAGCUAAGUAUAAGCUUCUAGAAUCAAGACUUCGAUGAUGGUGAAGACGAUUAGAAUUAGGCAAGUAAUGGUGAAGGUAAGGAUAACUUUACUCUCUAUCUCCUUACA